UUAUGGCCAUAUCAAGUUGAAAAACCCGUUCUCGUACGAUCACCGAAGUUAAGCAACGCCGGGACUGGUCAGUACCUAGAUGGGUAACCACUUAGCAAUACCAGGUGCUGUAAG